GAUCUGGUCCCAACCCUUAAACCAAUUACUACUUAACUUACACAUGCAAGUCUCAGCGCACCAGUGAGAAAGCCCCUACCACAAAGUAGGGAGCGGGUAUCAGGCACAAUAAUUUGCCCACGACACCUAGCCCCGCCACACCCACAAGGGCAUGCAGCAGUGAUUAAUAUUAAGAUAUAAACGCCAGUUUGACUUAGUUAUAGUAUUAAGAGCCGGCCAAUCCGGUGCCAGCCGCCGCGGUUACACCGCUGAGGCUCAAGUUGGUUUACUUCGGCGUAAAGCGUGGUUAAAGCUAUCAUUACUCGAUUAAGACUAAACUCAAGCUAAACUGUUUAAAGUCUUGCUUACAGGAAAAUCAUAAACGAAAGUUGUCUUAACUUCCUCUCUUGAACCCACGACAACUAGGACACAAACUGGGAUUAGAUACCCCACUAUGCCUAGUCAUAAAUCUACUUACACCCAUCCCGCCAGAGAAUUACGAGCCAAAGCUUAAAACUCAAGGGACUUGACGGCAACCCAUACCCCCUAGAGGAGCCCGUCCUAAAAUCGAUGCCCCCCGAUUAACCUCCCCACUUUUCGUUUACCCCGCUUGUAUACUUCCGUCACAGCUUACCCCGUGAGGGAUCUUCAGUAAGCAAAAUGUUCUUACCCAACAAGAAGUCAGGUCAAUGUGCAGCUAAUAAAGUGGAUUGAGAUAGGCUACACUUUCUAAAUUAGAAGAUACGGAUAACUCGUUGAAACCCGAAGUUUGAAGGUGGAUUUAGCAGUAAAGAGUUUCA
rnacentral:rRNA from 1 species